AAUAUUCUUUUUUUUUCCCUCCUCUUUUACACCCUCUCCUCAUGUGGCCCAGGUAGGUCAUCACCGUCGGUUGGUUCAGUCGGUUGCUUGACCAGGUGGUAAGGGGUGUUCUUGGGGCGGCGUGGUCGUGCGGUGGAGAAGACAGACUGACUGUCCUGCCGGGCACGCUAUUCGCCUGGGUGUACAGUAACCGCACUUCCCUUCACUCCGAGCACCUGCCUCGACGGGGAGGCGCCGGCAGACGGAGCGUCAUAUAUACCGGCCGCGAGGUCGUCGCCAAGGGGUGGUAAGUAAGGGAGGGAGGGGAGGUGAGGCUGGUUUCGGGUCCGGGUCCGGGCCGGGUUUCGGGUGGUGCUCGCGCUCCUACCGGCGGCGCCUCGGCGGCGGCGGGUGGCCGCCCUACCCGAAGGACCCCGACGAGUCGAAGGCGGCGCCGCGGUGGCGGCAGCGGAGGAAGCUGGGCCGCGUCCUGCUGCUCGACGAGCAGGAGCUGCGCGAGGUCCGGGUGCAGCGGCUGGCGGAGCGGCGCGAGAGGCGGGUGAGGAGGAGGCGCCGGGUCUCGGUCGUCCCCGGCGACGAGAGCGACCGCAAGGAGAGGUUCGACGAGCUGCGGCACCAGAGGAGCCUGCGGCGCAAGGCCCUGCGGGAGCGGCACCCGGGGCACCCGCGGCGCGAGAGGUCCCGGGGGCGGCUGGCGGAGCGGCGGCUGGACGAGCUGGCGAGGCAGUUCCGCGAGCUGCGCGAGUUGCGGCAGAGGGAGCGCGAGCGGAGCGAGGCCCCGAGGGUGGCGCGGCGCGAGUGGCGGCGGAGGACGGAGGAGCGGCGGCCGCGCGGCGACGACGUGGCGCGCGUCAAGCGCGCGCGCGCGGCCCGGUAGAGGUCCGAGAAGGGCCUGCGGUCCCGGCGCGGCUGCUGCGGGACGUCGAGCGCGCGGCGGGCGCGCGAGAGGAAGUCGCAGAGCAGGUUCUUGACCAGGUGCCCCGCGGUGCACGUGCGGUACCGCCGCGUGGAGCGCGGCGGCGGCGGGGGCCGCGGCCCCCGCCGGAGCCCGACCGCGAGAUGUGGUACUCGAGGCAGGAGCACAAGCGGUACACCCGCGAGCAGCGGCGGCACGGGACGGUCCUGUCCCGGAGGCGCCGGCGGGGGCAGCGCGGCCGGUUCGUCCGCGUCACCCGCCGCGGGUACUGCCGGUAGGUCCUCGCCUAGCACCUCCUCAGCUCCGCCUCCCUGUUCUUCCCCAGCAGGAGGCCCCGCAGGAGCGGCCGCAGGCGCCCCGAGGAGCGGCUCUACGUCCGGCACCUCGCGCGGCGCGCCCUCGAGUUGUCGGACGAGCUCCUCUAGCGGCUCCUCCUCCUGCUCCGGCGCCUCCACCUCCGGGGCCGCAGGUAGUCGCUCCUCGCGCGGCCUCUGCAGCACCUCGCGCGUCUCCGCGACCGGCCGCGCACGGCCCGCGACCUCCUGCCGGAGCGCGGCGACCUCGCCGUCCACGCGCGGCACAAGGUGGCGCAGCACCGGUCGGCGCGGCUCCAGCACGCCACGUACCUCGUGUCGCGCGCGUCGUGGCGGCCCAGGCGGAGGCCGGGCGGCCGCGUCGUCGGGGUAAGGAAGACU
rnacentral:rRNA from 1 species